rnacentral:rRNA from 1 species
UACAGAGGUCCCAAGCGUUGUUCGGAUUCACUGGGCGUAAAGGGUGCGUAGGCGGUCGGGUAAGUCUGAUGUGAAAUCUCACAGCUUAACUGUGAAACUGCAUUGGAUACUAUUCGGCUUGAGAGUUGGAGGGGGGACUGGAAUUCUUGGUGUAGCAGUGAAAUGCGUAGAUAUCGAGAGGAACACCAGUGGCGAAGGCGAGUCCCUGGACAUCUCCUGACACUGAGGCACGAAAGCUAGGGGAGCAAACAGG